AGGACGAACGCUGGCGGCGUGCUUAACACAUGCAAGCCGAGCGGAAAGGCCUUUCGGGGUACUCGAGCGGCGAACGGGUGAGUAACACGUGAGUAAUCUGCCCAUCGCUUCAGGAUAGCCAUCGGAAACGGUGAUUAAUACUGGAUAUGACAUUCCUUCGCAUGUUGGGGUGUGGUAAAGUUUUUUCGGCGGUGGAUGUGCUCGCGGCCUAUCAGCUUGAUGGUGGGGUAAUGGCCUACCAU
rnacentral:rRNA from 1 species